rnacentral:tRNA from 3 species
CCACAGGUAGCUCAACUGGUAGAGUAUCCGAGUACUUCACGAGGAGGUUUACGGUUCGAACCCGUACCUGUGGA